GCCGACUGGGCAAAGGGGGACCUUGCGGCCAAGGAGGGAUUCGCAGGCGGGCCGGGGGUGGGAGCGGGGGCCGGAGCCGGAGCCUUGGCCCGCCCCCGGGCGGCGCUGUGAUUGGCCGGCCGCUCCGGCGGGCGUCGCGAUUGGCCGUCCUGCAGCCGUUGAGAUUUGAACUCGGUAUUUGUGGCUUUGCCCGCGCGUUGCCAGACUCAGAGGCGGCCCUUUGCCUCUGCCUGCCGGGGAUUGGCCGGAUUCUCCGCCGACUUGAAAACUGCCUUGCUAAUUGGUGCGUGUUGUGCACGCGUGUUUUUU
rnacentral:lncRNA from 10 species